rnacentral:rRNA from 1 species
CACGUAGGGUGCGAGCGUUGUCCGGAAUUAUUGGGCGUAAAGAGCUCGUAGGUGGUUUGUCGCGUUGUUCGUGAAAACUCACAGCUUAACUGUGGGCGUGCGGGCGAUACGGGCAGACUGGAGUACUGCAGGGGAGACUGGAAGUUCCUGGUGUAGCGGUGAAAUGCGCAGAUAUCAGGAGGAACACCGGUGGCGAAGGCGGGUCUCUGGGCAAACAACGUGACGCUGGAGGAGCGAAAGCGUGGGGAGCGAACAGGA